CCCCUCUCAGAGUCACACCUGGAGAGUUUCCAGGACUCUACCGGUCUCGACUACGGGAGAGAGAGUCAAGCGGAUGCCUGCCUACCCAUUCCAUUCCUAGCUUGGCCAGUGGUUAGCGAAUGGAAGACCAUCUGCUACAAGU